ACCUACGCCACCAUCAUUCCUUGGCUACACCCCACUACAAAAUGUUUUUGGUAUUUAAAAUACUUUUGAAAAAGGAACAGGGGACAGAAAAAAGCCUUCAUUCCGAGGAGCCCCAUAUGGUCCUGAGGUAGGAGCUAGUGGGCUCCAGGCUGGGCAUUUACAAUUAGACUUCUGUUUACAUUUCCUGAGGAAGGAGGCAGGGGGCUCUGGGCUAGAGAGUUACAAGCAGCCUCCUGUUGGCUCUUCGAGAUGGAAAUGACAAGAACAGAGUGAGUAGCUGGACUUUGUCUCCUGUGGACACUUUCAGGCAACAACUGUGGCAGGCCUAAACACUCUUUGAUUUAAAGGUCAAGAGUGACAGAUUUCCCAGCCUUGUGGCCAGGGAGACAUGGCACAUGUUGAGGGUCAGAGAGGAGGAGGGCAUCCCACCAUAAUAGUAGAUGCCAGGACCCACCCCAUCCCAUGGCCUCCCGGCUGGAAUACAUCCUGAAAGAAAGUUGCGCAGGUGAGUGGGUGAGGGUCCUAGGGCAGGUCAGUUGUGUUAAAAUAAGUGGAUAAUUGGCUAAAGAUAAACAAACUCAGAACUGCCCUUGUGGAUGAUUUUACUGACUUUGUUGGGUCAUGGGGCUCCUCCUCCUGGGAGGAGGCCCACACUCUUUCUCUCCAGCUGUGUAUCUCUGCCUCGCUUCUGUCUUAACUGAGCAAACUUCCUCUGAGUGCUCUCUCAUUGUUGUGCUGUGUCUCUAAUAAUACACUUUGUACCUGUUUUAGAUUAAAAAAAUUUUUUUUCCUCCUUGAGAAAUGCAUUUUUCAAUGGAGGCAAGAGUCAGGGGAACCUUGUCUCUAGCCUCUGGCCCCUGGUGGACGAGCGGCUAGGAGUCCUGGUUUUCAUCCAGGCCACCCGGGUUCAAUAUCCGCGCACAGAGCUAAGCCACCCCUCACGGCUGACUCUCUCCGAGAAUACCUGAUGCUGAAACCCAGGAUUUCAAGGUACCAGCCAGACUGGAAUUUAAGCAAGAAUGAGAAAAUAGAAGACAAAAUUCAGAUGAAGCCUCUAGUCAAGGAAAAUCCUCUGGACUCUGAACCUGAAGCAGGAAGCUCAAAGACUCUCAAGAGUCUGUGGUUGCCUGUCAGCAGCACCGCCACCCAGAAAUCUGCCCAGAUGGUCUAUGGAUGUGCCUUUCUGCUUGGGAAGGAUGUUGCCCAAGGUCCUGCCAUCUUUGUCUUCUGGGUCCAGCCUGUUCUCCUCCUCCUUGACCCUUGCACUUCUCCUGCUGAUUAUCCUGAGCCAGAUCCUGGCCCAGUGGCCCAGCCAGCUGUUCUCUGGAGACCCUGUGCUCACAACAGUGGCUGUGCUGCUGCUGCUGCUCAUCACUGGGGUCACGGUCAUCAUCUGGAGGCAGCCCCAGGACCCCUCUCCUCUUCCAUUUAG
rnacentral:lncRNA from 1 species